UGACAUCACAAUGCCCGUCAUUCACCUCACUGCAUCUCACCAGGUAGGCAUCGUAUCAUCUCACGUCAUCACGAGAAGAACGCACCCCUGCUCAGACUGAAUGGGAAUACUGAUAAACACGAAAACAUGCUCAACUUCUCUAAUAAUCAAAGAAAUACAUAUUAAAAUGAGAUGCCACUGUUUCUUCUAUCACUGGGACUGAAAUGGAAAGUAUUCAUCAUAUCCUUUGCUGGUGAGAAAGCCGGACGAAGAAAGAUCAGAGAGAGCGCCACCCCCAUUCCCCACAGCGUUCCAGCUCUGGCCCUGCUCUGUGGCUGCCCCUCAAGCCUGAAAAUCACCUCAUAUUCUUACAAUAAAUCCCUUCUCCUCUCUUG